rnacentral:rRNA from 1 species
AUUGAACGCUGGCGGCAGGCCUAACACAUGCAAGUCGAACGGAGCGGCGGACGGGUACGUGAUGCCUAGGAAUCUGCCUCGUGGUGGUGGAUAGCGUCCGGAAACGGGCGAUGAUACCGCAUACUAUCCGUUUAGCCUUGGUCGGAUUAGCAAGUGGGUGGGGUAAAGGCCUACAAAGGCGACGAUCCGUACCUGGUCUGAGAGGAGGAUCAGUCACACGGGAACUGAGAACCGGUCCAGAUUCCUCCGGGAGGAAGCAGUGGGGAACAUUGGCCAAUGGGCGAAAGCCUGAUGCAGCCAGGCGGCGUGUGUGAAGCAGGUCUCCGGUUUGUAAAGCACUUUAAGCUGGGCGGCGUUACCAACAUAAUAAGCACCGGCUAACUUCGUGCCAGCAGCCGCGGUAAUAC